GACGAACGCUGGCGGCGUGCUUAACACAUGCAAGUCGAACGGUAAGGCCCUUCGGGGUACACGAGUGGCGAACGGGUGAGUAACACGUGGGUGAUCUGCCCUGCACUUCGGGAUAAGCCUGGGAAACUGGGUCUAAUACCGGAUAGGACCCUGGGAUGCAUGUCCUGGGGUGGAAAGCUUUUGCGGUGUGGGAUGGGCCCGCGGCCUAUCAGCUUGUUGGUGGGGUGAUGGCCUACCAAGGCGACGACGGGUAGCCGGCCUGAGAGGGGGACCGGCCACACUGGGACUGAGAUACGGCCCAGACUCCCACGGGAGGCAGCAGUGGGGAAUAUUGCACAAUGGGCGCAAGCCUGAUGCAGCGACGCCGCGUGAGGGAUGACGGCCUUCGGGUUGUAAACCUCUUUCAGCACCGACGAAGCGCAAGUGACGGUAGGUGCAGAAGAAGGACCGGCCAACUACGUGCCAGCAGCCGCGGUAA
rnacentral:rRNA from 1 species